rnacentral:rRNA from 1 species
UACGUAGGGUGCGAGCGUUGUCCGGAAUUACUGGGCGUAAAGGGCUCGUAGGCGGCCAACUAAGUCAGACGUGAAAUCCCUCGGCUUAACCGGGGAACUGCGUCUGAUACUGGAUGGCUCGAGUUUGGGAGAGGGAUGCGGAAUUCCAGGUGUAGCGGUGAAAUGCGUAGAUAUCUGGAGGAACACCGGUGGCGAAGGCGGCAUCCUGGACCAACACUGACGCUGAGGAGCGAAAGCCAGGGGAGCAAACGGG